rnacentral:rRNA from 1 species
CCCGGGCCUUGUACACACCGCCCGUCACAUCAUGGGAGUUGGUUUUACCCGAAGUCGUCGACUUAACCGAAAGGGGAGAGACGCCGAAGGUAAGGCUGAUGACUGGGAUG